UACGGGGGGGGCAAGCGUUGUUCGGAAUUACUGGGCGUAAAGGCUCGUAGGCGGCCAACUAAGUCGGAUGUGAAAUCCCCAGGCUUAACCUGGGAACUGCAUCCGAUACUGGAUGGCUUGAAUCCGGGAGAGGGAUGCAGAAUUCCAGGUGUAGCGGUGAAAUGCGUAGAUAUCUGGAGGAACACCGGUGGCGAAGGCGGCAUCCUGGACCGAGAUUGACGCUGAGGCGCGAAAGCUAGGGUAGCAAACGGG
rnacentral:rRNA from 1 species